rnacentral:rRNA from 1 species
GCACCCGCGGUAAUUCCAGCUCCAAUAGCGUAUAUUAAAGUUGUUGCAGUUAAAAAGCUCGUAGUUGAACUUCUGUACAGUCUCACUUCUGGCUUCGGUCAAGGUGUUGGCUGUGCAUCCGCUUGCAAAGCUGGUUCGGCCUUAACUGGUCGGCUAGUAGAGUAAGCCCUUUACUUUGAAAAAAUUAGAGUGUUUCAGGCAGGCAAUGGCUCGAAUACAUUAGCAUGGAAUAAUGGAAUAGGACUUUUGUCCAUUUGGUUGGUUCUUGGACUUAAGUAAUGAUUAAAAGGGACAGUUGGGGGCAUUGGUAUUUAACAGUCAGAGGUGAAAUUCUUGGAUUUGUUAAAGACUAACUUAUGCGAAAGCAUCUGCCAAGGAUGUUUUCAUUGAUCAAGAACGAAAGU